rnacentral:rRNA from 1 species
GCUUACGGCCACACCACCCUGAGCGCGCCCGAUCUCGUCUGAUCUCGGAAGCUAAGCAGGGUCGGGCCUGGUUAGUACUUGGAUGGGAGACCGCCUGGGAAUACCAGGUGCCGCUUUGCU